rnacentral:rRNA from 1 species
GCUUAUGGCCAUACCAGCCUGGCUAUGCCCGAUCUUGUCUGAUCUCGGAAGCUAAGCAGGUUUGGGCCAGGUUAGUACAUGGAUGGGAGACUGCCUGGGAAUACCAGGUGCUUUAAAUU